rfam:Loxodonta africana unplaced genomic scaffold scaffold_28, whole genome shotgun sequence.
GAAUAGGCUUUAUUCAAAGCCACUCAAUGACCUCAGUAGUCAAUG